rnacentral:misc_RNA from 1 species
UUUCCGUAGGUGAACCUGCGGAAGGAUCAUUAUUGGAUUUUGAAACUUCAGGCUGCUGCUGGCUCUCCUCGGAGGGCAUGUGCACGCUUGUUGUCCAUUAUUUCUCCCACUGUGCACAAAUUGUAGACCUUUCAGUAGGCCUAUGUUGUUUUUCACAAUCUCUGAAUGUAAUAGAAUGGUUUUGAAUCUUGGGAAAUACAAUACAACUUUCAGCAACGGAUCUCUUGGCUCUCGCAUCGAUGAAGAAGCAGC